rnacentral:rRNA from 1 species
AAUCAACGCUGGCGGCGUGCCUCAGACAUGCAAGUCGAACGCGAAAGCUCCCUUCGGGGAGCAAGUAGAGUGGCGCACGGGUGAGUAACACGUAGGUAAUCUACCUUUGGAUGGGGAAUAACAACCGGAAACGGUUGCUAAUACCGCAUAAUGCAGCGGCACCUAAUGGUGACAGUUGUUAAAGCGGGGGAUCGCAAGACUUCGCGUUUGAAGAGGAGCCUGCGGUAGAUUAGCUAGUUGGUAAGGUAACGGCUUACCAAGGCGAUGAUCUGUAGCCGGCCUGAGAGGGCGGUCGGCCACACUGACACUGACAUACGGGUCAGACUCCUACGGGAGGCAGCAGUCGGGAAUUUUGGGCAAUGGGCGAAAGCCUGACCCAGCAACGCCGCGUGAAGGAUGAAAUCCCUCGGGAUGUAAACUUCGCAAGAACGGGAAGAAUAAGUCGGUGUAAAUACCACCGACGAUGACGGUACUGUUUGUAAGCUCCGGCUAACUCCGUGCCAGCAGCCGAC